rnacentral:misc_RNA from 1 species
AGGAUGCAGAAGUAAUUGAGGUUUUGAAAAAAGUUCGAAAGUAUAAUCGCCUUUUUAUAGGUGGCACUUAUGGCCUCAUGCUGAAGGUGCUUGGGUUGCCCUUUUACAUAAAGAGAGUGUUCAAUGAAAUGAUGAAUCCUGACAGGCCUGGUGCUCAUUUGAACAAAUUGCGUAUUUUUGCUAUGUUCCUGGGACUCCUUUACACAUUCAGCCCCUUUGAUUUUCUCAGAAUAGGCCGUCAAAAUGUAAUUGAUGUAUUUGAUUAUUCUGCCAUUGCACUAUCCUCAGUGUUAUAUUUGGUUGGGCUGUAUCUUCGACGAAGGCGUUUUCGCCAUGUCAGGGAGAUGGCUGAGGCUGAUUUUGCUGCUCAUUGACAGCUGCCAACUGGUGAAGCAGACAUUUGUCAACUCGUUGUGGAGCUUGACGAUUCUGGAUUUCUAAAGAUCGUCCUCUGCUUUUGUGGUUGUGCGCUUUUGCAGAGUUUGACAUGGUCUUUCCCUAUGAUGCAGUUCUCUUACAUUUACCUGCCAGUGUGUACAGAUAGGAUGUAGUGUUAUGAUGUAUAUACAUACUCAUUUAGUUGAUCUCUCUUCCACCCCAU